UCUCUGUGGUGACGGUGGCCGAGGUGGCCGGCAUAUCUGAAUAGAGUGGCGGGAGCCGCUCCACUUCCUCCGCAGUUUUCUAGGAGCUGCAUCCGGACGCUGCGCAAAGGAGCAUCCCUCGGGGCCGAAUGCGCCGUGGACCAUGCCCCUCCUAACCCAGCGGAUCCCAGACGAGAAUGAUUACUGCUUAGUGGCCAGCCUUGACAACGUCAGGAACCUCUCCACUAUCUUGAAGGCUAUUCAUUUCCGAGAACAUGCCACGUGUUUCGCUACUAAAAAUGGAAUCAAGGUUACAGUGGAAAACGCAAAAUGUGUACAAGCAAAUGCUUUUAUUCAGGCUGGAAUAUUUCAAGAGUUUAGAGUUCGAGAAGAGUCUGUUACUUUUCGAAUUAAUUUAACUGUCCUUUUAGACUGUUUGUCUAUUUUUGGAUCAAGUCCUGUGCCAGGGACUUUUACUGCACUUCGGAUGUGUUACCAAGGUUAUGGUUACCCUCUGAUGCUGUUUCUAGAAGAAGGAGGUGUGGUGACAGUGUGCAAAAUCAAUACUCAGGAGCCUGAGGAGACUCUGGAUUUUGAUUUCUGCAGCACCAAUGUCAUUAAUAAAAUUAUUCUGCAGUCAGAGGGGCUCCGUGAAGCAUUCUCCGAGUUGGAUAUGACGAGUGAGGUCCUGCAGAUCACCAUGUCUCCAGAUAAACCUUAUUUCAGGUUAUCUACUUUUGGGAAUGCAGGAAGCUCCCACCUUGACUAUCCCAAAGAUUCUGAUUUGAUGGAAUCAUUUCACUGCAAUCAGACCCAGGUCAACAGUAUAUGAUUAGAAAUGAAGAUGGACAAAUAUGCUUUGUGGAAUAUUACUGCUGUCCCGAUGAAGAAGUUCCUGACUCUUAGUCUUCAGUAUGGUGGUUCACGCAUUAUUUAUGUACACAUGCGUAGUAGGUCAUGUUCUCAUGCUGAGUGCAAUCCCUCCGUGACUUCCUGUUAAGAUUUUUGAAGGGGAAGAAGCAGGGAGGAGGAGCAGCACAGUCCCUUUCCCGAUAGUUGCUGAAGGUUUUGUCAGUGAUGUUGUCGUAGAUUAUCCAGUACUGGACUAGUCUGUGGUUCUGUCUUUUGAACUCACGGAAAUUGUUAUAAGUCAAGGUGCAUAAGUUUUAUGUGUUAUUCUACUUAAGUAGGACAUUCCAAGAGUAUAAAAAUUUGAAGUUUGGUGAAGCCAUAUCAGAAAUGUUGUUUUAUUUAUUUACUAUGAGAAAAAGCAAUAGCAUAUGGACAUCACUUCCCAGUUGGAAUUCUGGAGACUCUGUCAUAAAGCAGUGGUUCUCAGAGUGUCAUGCCUAGACCCCCUGGAAACUUGUCAGGAACUCUGGGGGCGGGGCAAGCAAUCGUAGUUUAAACAGCUUCCCCCAUCUUCUCCCCCGCCACCCCCGACAUUCUGAUUCUUGCUAAAGUUUGAGAACCACUGUUUAAAGGAUAUUUUUUUUAAAUAGCAUUUUAAUUGUAUUGAAGUGACUGCUGUUACAGGUGAUGCCUUUGCAAGUGUUCUGAAGUUUAGGUGUCACCAAACAUGUCUAAAUAAUUAUAUGAUUUAUUUACAUUUUGAAGGCAUCUAUGAACAUGAUAUAAAACAGUCUUCAGAAUUACAGAUUUUCAUCUUGUUCUGAAAACCAUUCAUUGUAGUAAGUACUUAUGAGAUACGUUCUAUUUGCCUAUAAGAAUUCCUCAACCAGGGCUUCCCACGUGGCUCAGUGGUAAAGAAUCCACCUGCCAAUGCAGGAGACACAGGUUCCAUCCCUGAUUCUGGAAGAUCCCACACUCUGUGGAACAGCUAUGCCCGUGUACCACAGCUGCUGAGCCCGUACUCUAGAGCUUGGCAGCUGCAGCUGUUGAGCUCAUGUGCCCUAGAGCCCGUGCUCUGCAACUAGAGAAGAGCUUGCACGCGACGAAGACCUACUGCAACCAGAAACAAAUUUUUUUUUUUUUUGGAAAUAAGUUUCUCAACCAAACCAAGGCAUAUCUCAGUGGGUGGGCACAUAGGCACUGCUCCUAGGUACCUGUAUGACUCGUGCAGUGCUGGGUAUCUAGCCCAGGGUGAAUGCCCGAUAACUAGUUAAGUCUCUCAAGGCAAUCUCGGGAUGCCCAGCUGGUACAAAAGUCAUUGGAGUUUGUAAAGUUACAGUAUGUGUUCAAGAAGGAAAUGAUCGAAUCUGCCAAAUGUCCAGAUUUUUUUUUGUCUCAAUAAGCGUUAAGAACAAAACACAUCUAAAACAUAAUUAUGAAAAUACUUAAUCAGUAAACAUUUCAAGGAUUACAACUUUCCUUUCAAUUUGCUUGGGGCUGGUGCAUGGGGAUGACCCAGAGAGAUGUUGU